rnacentral:rRNA from 1 species
AGCUCCAAUAGCGUAUAUUAAAGUUGUUGCAGUUAAAAAGCUCGUAGUUGGAUUUCUGGUUUGGCUUGCGGCGGUCCGGCCUUAUUGGUCUGUGUAUCGCUCGCUAGCAACCAUCCUUCUGGGGAGUGAGUCUACCCUUUACUGGGCCGGACUUACGACCUGGAUCGUUUACUUUGAAAAAAUUAGAGUGUUUAAAGCAGGCGUAUAGCUCUGAAUACAUUAGCAUGGAAUAAUAAUAUAGGACUCUGGUCCUAUUUUGUUGGUUUCUAGGACGAGAGUAAUGAUUGAUAGGGACAGUUGGGGGUGCUCGUAUUGGACGGCCAGAGGUGAAAUUCUCGGAUUCGUCCAAGACGAACUACUGCGAAAGCAUUCACCAAGGAUGUCUUCUUUAAUCAAGAAC